UAAGCUAAGAGAGGAUUACUGAUGCUUACAUGUAAUACUUUAGAAUUGAACUGCCAAUGCCCAUUUAGGAAAAUGAAUUUAAUGCCCAUUCCAAGGGUCUUUUCCCGGGAUAAUGUGCAACCAAGUGCUAUUACAAAAAGAAAGUUAGUAUUUGAUACAUAUAAGUCUCUCAGUAUAUUAACUAUGUUGUUCAUUUUACAUUUAUAUAAAUGGCCGGCAUUUUUAACCCUUAUAUUCCUGUUAGGAAAUAUAUGAUGCAGAGGAUCUCACCUAAAUAAUUAUGGAUUUAAGCUAAGCCAUAAAUAUAAUAAUGUUUGGCUCACAUCUGGUGGUAGGACUUCCUCAUAGAAGGAUAAGCAGAGAUAUGUAUUAUUUGCAUAUGUGUCUAUCAUUUGAACCCAUUUUGAGCUAUUUGGUUAAACAUAAGCAUUUGUAAUACAAUCAAAAGACAGGCACAAGAUAACUAUGAAUCUCAGACCAUGGAAAUAUUAAUCCACUAUCUAAUGUCCAACUAAUUGAAACAAUAUUAAGUGCACUACAAUCAAGUUUCAUAACACAAUUCUCUAUUUCUCACAUAAAAAAUGAAACAAUACAAAGAGCUGCCAAUGAUUUAUACUCUUUUAGGAAAAAUUACUAGCCCGUGCAGUCGCACAGGUUGUUGACUAGUCAUGCUUAAAGAUCAUGAAUCUUACCAUCUUACCUUCUCGUGCUUGAAGUGUUCUCAGUCAGGACAAGCAAGCCCAGUGACUCCCACUACGGCUCAUGGCGCUUCGACCUCCUUGCAACAAUGAUCACUCGAGGUAGUUGUCUAUGCUUGUGCAUUGUUGAUGCUUGCGUCUUGUCUUUGUGCUUCUCAACUUACAACUUGUGCAUUGUUGAUAGUAGAGCCCACAAGUGUUGAUGCUUAUAUUGUUCAUACUUCUUAGCUUCAAUUUGAACCUUAUAUGUUGAUGCUUGUUGACUCUUGUGCCUUAUCGAUCAUUUGAAAAUUAACUUUGAAAACUCAUGCGUUUGGUAAUGGACUUAUAGGUUUGCAUCGUGGAUGCCGUUGACGGUGGGCAUACAUGCUACGGUGGAGCACAUUGCAUGUUUGAGGUUCAUGCUUGGUGUGAACUUGGAACUCAUGCUUUUGUUUGUGAACCUUGUUGGAUAUGUACCUGUGUGGACUUUGGACUCAUGGUCAAUUUGUAUGGUUGUCAAGUUGUACUAAAUUGUUGUUGUGAACCUUCGUUGGUUAUAUAUUACUUGUUG
rnacentral:lncRNA from 1 species